ACUUCUCAGCAUCGCCGUCUCUGAGGGCAGGAGUGAUCUGGAGCCCUCCCCAAGCCCACAGAAGACAUGGCUGUGGAGUGUCGGUGCACCAGGGUCUGCCGGGUCCCCGCCUCCCCAUCCUUCCAAGAGGCACCAGCUGCAAGGCACGUGCAUGUGCCCUCCUGACCCCCCGGUCCCCAAAGAGCCUGCUCCCGUCACUCCAGGCAGGCACUGUUGCUGGGAUUUCAAGGCAGCUGAGUGCAGAGCCCACUGCAGAGGCAUCAGCCCCUCCCAGGCCUCUAGGAAACCUGCUCCUCCCCUCCCUCCACAGGCAUCUGCUUACAGCGCCAGCGGUGCCUCGUGCUCCACCUGGAGCACCACUGUCUGUCAGGGACACGGGCUCCCAGAGGGCUGCACGUGAAUGAUUUCCGACCCUCACAACAGCCAGGAAGUAGGGACUGGGAUUGUUCCCAUUCUGUAGAUGAGAAGACUGAGGCUUGGGAUAACGUGCUUGCCCAAGUUGGCAUGGGCAGUACAAGACAAAGCUGGGGUUGCAAAUGAUCACGCUUCCUAUUCUGAAUAUUUCUUUUUCUGCCACCUUCUCCUCUGAGUGCUGGCUUUCCCUACUUACCAAGCCCCCAGCUGCUCACUGCGGUGCCAGAGCACCCAAGAGCCUCCUCUGGCAGUGCCAUGGCCCACAGCACACUCCCCUUGGCUCUAUCAGGCCUCCCUUUUGGCUUGAGUGCCACCCACUCACUCCUCUCCUGCUUUCUGGCAUCGUUAUUUAAUUGUCCAACCCUGGUCUGCUCAGUUAGACCGUAAACUCUGAGAGGACGAGGAGUCUUCGCCGGCUGCCCCCCGGGCCUGGCCUGGGGCUGCCACGUAGCUGAAUCUCAGCCACACUUGCUGUAGAAUGAUUUGUUAUUAUUCUCUGAGGCUGGGUUUCCACGUGGCUGGGCACAGGAGGACAGAGUCCCCCUCCCCGUCCAGGUCCUUGGCUGGCCAGCAUUUCAAAUGAUAUUGUUUCAUAUUAAAUUAUUUUAAAUUCCAUGGACCCUGGUUUCACAAUCAAAUAAUUCGAUCUUGUUUACAAAUGGAAUUUUUAGUUUUUGACGGUUUCUUGCUUUGCUGGGCUGGACGGUCAGUGAAUGCGUGUCCUCCCGUGCCCUCCAGUCCAUCUCUGUUGCCUUCCCCGGGAUGCCGUGGAGGCCGGGAACCGUCCCCAGGAGUGGGGACGUGGUCAGGAGGGUGGGGUCAGGCAGCCCUGUGCAGGCAGACAGCUCACAGUGCUCGGGGCCUGGAGGCGGGGGCGUUCUCUGCUUGCCCUCUUCCAGCUCUAGACAUGAGAAAACCCACAAAGAACAGAAUUGGAAGGGAUCUUUGACACACGUGAUUCCAACAUCCCCUUUUACAGUUAGGAAACUGAGGCACAAGAUCCUGGUUCUUGGGGUUGGGCCUUGGACCCAGCACUGGGUCUUUGCACAGCCUCCUCAGGACUGAUCCACACUUUGUUCUCUUCCCCACCAACCCCAUCACUUCCCGUUAGGUGCCACUUACUGCUUUCACCUACCGAGACAGAGAGAGGGAAAAGUGUGACCUCUGACCUCUAGGAGCUAGGAACCCAGUGUUGGGAGGGGAGCUGCGGAGGAGGAGACAAAGGAGGCACAAUGAGGUGGACCCUACGGGGUUGGGAGGAGCUUGGAAGGCAGUUCAGAAAGGACACGUAGGAGAAGGCAGGGUGGGACUGUGGGACAGCAGGCCGGGCGCAUCCAGCGGCGUUUGCAAAGCCGGAGAAGUGGCCAAGCUCAGUGGCUGUGGCCAGAUGCCAUUUGUGGCAGUUGAUGAGAAUCUUGUGACUAUUUUAACCGAUGUGUUAAACUUCACUCUCCCCCUGUCAGUCUCCUUGUCACCUUGGAGAAUGUUAUUAGUCAAGGUUCUCCAGAGAAACAGAACCAACAGAAUGUACACACAUGCACACACAUACACAUGCACACACACACACAUACACACGCACACACACACACACACAAACAGGGAUUUAUUGUAAAGAACUGGCUCCUGGAAUAACUGAAUUGAUAAGUCCCAAGAUUUUCAGUCAGCAAGCUGGAGACCCAGAAGAGGCUACUAGGGACUAGACAUGUCCCCCCAAAAUUCAUAUGGUGGACCCCAACCUCCAAUGUGAUGGUCUUAGGAGGUGGGGUGUUUUGAAGGUGAUUAGGUCAGGAGGGUGGAGCGCUAAUGAACGAAAUUAGUGCCCUUAUAAGAAGAGACAGGGCAGCUCUCUCUCUCUGAUCUCUGUCACAUUAGGACGUAGAGAGAGGAAGGCCAGCAGUAAGUGGGCCCUCACCAAAAUCAAAUUGGCAGCACCGUGGUGCUGGACUUCCAGCCUCCUGAAUGGUGGGAAAUGAAUAUUUGAUGCUUAAGCCACACAGUCUACAGCAGCCCGAGCUUAGACAGAGCGGACGUUUCAGUUCAAGUCCAAAGGCAGGAAAAAGCUAGACAUUCAGCUCAAAGGCUGGCAGGCAAGAGGAAUUCUAUCUUACUCAGGGGACGGGACCCCCUUUGUCCUAUUCAGGCUGUCAACUGAUUGGAUGAGGCCCACCCAUAUUAGGGAGGGGAAACUGCUUUACCUGGCCCACUGAUUCCAAUGUGAGUCUCAUCCCCAAGCCCCUCACAGAAACACCCAGAGUGAUGUCUGGUCAAAUAUCUGGGCGCUGUGGCCCCGCCAAGUUGACACUGAAAUUAACCCUCGCAGAGGCCGCCUCUUUAUCACGGGACACAUGCUUGGAGCCCCUCUUCUGGAACUUUCUCUAAGCGAGUGACAGUAUGGGGCAGAUGGGUGUCAUUGCUCUGUGGUCACUUGAUGGGUGACCUGGGUUGGCCCUGUGUACCUACCCACUGGGCUUGGCUCAGAAUGGCAUCCUGCUGUUUCCACAAGUCAGCUGGCUCUCCAGGGUCAGGAUGGAACCUGCUGAGGAGAUCACAGAUGGCCCUGACUCCACACGCUGCCCCAGAGGGCCCCAAGGCAGGCAUCUGAGCCAGCCCCGGCUGCAGAGGUUGACUCAGGAAAGCACCAGGGAAAGUUGGUUGUUAAUAUCCCAGUCCAAUUUUUUUUGACUGGGCCUAAAGGCAGGGACUUCCUUCUAUAAAAUCUGGGAGCUGAGUGCAGGGCAGGCCUGACAAGGCGUGAGGAGCUGCCUGUGGACUUCGGCUCUCCCAGUGAGUCCAGGAGCUGCCCUGGGCCCUGGCGGCCCCUCCUCAUCCCCACCUCUCUGCUGCACCACUAUGGCCUCAAGGUCCCUGCACUGCCUCAUAAAGCUGUCCCCAAGUCAGGCUCCUGUGAGCGCGCCGGGCAUCAGAACUCUGGCUGGUGGACCCACAGAGGCCCGGGGUAAUAGCCAUGAGAAGAACAGGCCACCACGCUCAGACUGGGAAGCACCCAGCCUGCGGGAUGGCCAGAGACACUCAUCCAGGGCCAUGAGAGUGUGAAUCAGUCGAGUACAAUAUGCAUAACCAGUGUGGCCAGAACCGGUGCUUUGAGGUGUCUAACUCCUGGUGUCCUACCAUCCCAACACUGUUGAUUAAUGGCGAAAGAUGGGGCAUUGGGGAGGUCUGUGUCUAUGCUUGGUGGCACCUAAGAAAGAGCAAGGCAUUUAUCUGCAUGGAUUGAGAUAGACAGGUCUCUAAAAUAAACAAGGCAAAGAACGCAAGAGGCUGAACCAAAGUAUGAUCCAUUUGGGGCUUAACAAAUAGAUAGUAUAGGCAGCGCGGUGGCUCACGCCUGUAAUCCCAGCACCUUGGGAGGCUGAGGUGGGCAGAUCACCUGAGGUUGGGAGUUCCAGACCAGCCUGAGCAAUAUGGUGAAACCCUGUCUUUACUAAAAAUACAAAAAUUAGCUGGGCAUGGUGGUGCACGCCUGUAAUCCCAGCUACUCAGGAGGCUGAGGCGGGAGAAUCGCUUGAACCCGGGAGGUGGAGGUUGCAGUGAGCUGAGAUCAUGCCACUGCACUCCAGCCUGGGUGACAGAGGGAGACCCUGUCUCAAAAAAAAAAAAAAAAAAUAGAUGGGGUAGAUGCUUUUGGAAGAAUAUGCAGUCACUGCUCACACCAGCAUGGAACAAGUGGACUGGGGUUACUGCCUGGCGAGUCUCUUUCAGGUCCCUGAAUGCAGUUAACUCAGCGAGUCCUGAGUUCCCCAGGAGGUGGGCAUUCCCAUCUUACCCACGUUGCAGAUGAAGACACUGAGGUGCAUAGAUGACUUACUUUCAGAAAAUGUCAACAGGGUGCUCUGCAGAGGGGCAUGGGCUUUUAUGCCUUUAUUAUGCUUUUCUGUAUUAAAAGAAAAAUACAGUCAUGUGAUUUUAGAAACUCAACCCAUGGAAGAGAGAAUACUGGGUCUGUAGGAAAUCUGCAAAGUGGGAAAGAUACUUCUGGGCUUGGUGGUGGCACCUUGGAGCCUGCUUACGGAAAUCACCUCUCGUUCCCGUGAUGCUGAAAGCAGAAUGCUGGACAUGGAAGAACCGUGAGUCAUGUCCAGUCCACUUCCUCGUUACACAGGCGGUACUCGAGCUUCGUCUGCUGCCCCACACCCCACUGGCUGUUGCAAGAGUGACGUUGCCAUUGGUGACUGCAGGUCUCCCAGCAGCCUGGUGCAGAGAGGCCACUUCAGGCUCGAACAGAGGCCCGGGUUUCCACGGGAGACAGCAGAGCCACGGUGUAGCAGGCAUCCAGCUCUCCCCCGAUCAGUUCCGUGACUUGUCGGAAGGCCCUCCCUCCCGGUCAGACGAAGAAAGGACUGGUGGCCUCUGGGGAUCCUGAGCCUGUCUCCAUGGGAACCAGCUCACCCACCCCCUCUCUGGCAAGUGUCCUAGUGGGAGCCAUGGGAAACCAUGGGCUCCAGCCCCUGGCCGCUGACUGGUUGGCGGCCUUCCGUUUUGAGAUCCCUGGCCCAGGGUAAUGGAGGGGACCUCAUCUUACAGAAGACACAGCGAGGGUGUGGAGAGGCUGUGGGGGAAGCACAGCCUGGCCGGCAGCUGCUGGGUGUCCUGGCUUGAGCUCAGGGCACCUUUGUCCCAGGGUGGGACCCUCAGGUCUCAGGGGCUGCUCCAUCCCCGUUGAGGGCUCCCUUCAUUCUUGAUGUCUGUCCACUCACAGAGGGGGCGUCAUGCCUCUCCAAAGACCCCCACAUUCCAGUCCUUGUGUCCCUGAGGUCGGCCUCCUGGCGGCCACCUCACAGGGAAGGCCCUGGACACAGGGCCCUGGCCUAAUGCAGCAUGGCUUCAUCUUAACUAGUUACGUGUGCAAAGACCCUGUCUCCAAACAAGGUCAUAUUUUGGGCUUCUGAGUGGAAGUUGGUUUGGGGGACACUCAUCAACCCAGCACAAUGCUCCCCCUCACCAUGUUCGUUGAAGAGAAGACUCUUGGACACCUGGAGGCCACCAGUCCUUUCUGGAUCCCCAGAGGCCACCAGUACUUUCUUCCUCUGACCUGAAACAAGAGCUAGCAGGGGCUGGCAGGCCGACUGCGUCUGCUGCCAUUUUGAGUACUGGCCCCAGCCGCAAUGCCCAGGACUGAGUCAUGGAGAUUCCCUCAGAAAUGGUGCAACCCAGUCUGUCCACAGAGUGAGGGGCGACAAGCCUGGUGGCCCCGGCUUCAGUGCAGGCCAUCCUUUCCACCUAUUGUCUCCUUUUGGUCUCAUGGGGACCCGGUUCUUGUCCUCUGCCCUGUAGCAUGGCUACGACCCUCAUGGGCCACAAACUUGAUGCCCUCAGGCGGCUAGACUCUACCCCAGAUCCGGGGCUGGCAGCGGCAUGGAUGUGGUCAACUGGCAUGCAGUUGUUACCCAGACACCCUCCCAUCAGCACUUUUUUAGGGGGUGAGUGACAGAAACUCAACUUGGGCUUAAAGGUGAAUUUACUGGUUCCUGUGAUGACAGAGUUCAAGGUUCAGCUGGACCUGGUGCCUCCAAUGACGUCACCAAGUCUGUCUGUCCAUCUGUCUGAGUUCAGCUUCCUCCAGGUCUUCGUUCUCCAGCAGGCCUUCUCCUCAAAGUGGCCAGGUGACUGUCAGCUCUAUGGUUCAUUCUACCAGUUUAUGAAUCUCCCCUCCUCAUGUUGCUCAAAUUCAGCUGUGAGUAAACUCCCAAGCUGAUUGCAGCGUCCAAAGGGAGGGCACUGGUCCCAUGUGCAGCCGGCAACUCUAUGGGUUCAGCUCCACCCAAACUAUAUAGACCACAGCAGGGAAGGAAAGCCAGGGAUGCUAGGAUGGCCAGCACCACUGCAGAAGCCUAUUGAUCCCGUGCAAAAUAGCUCCAGUAAAAGGAGGGCUUUGGGGCCCGGUGUGUUGGCACACACCUGUAAUCCCAGCACUUUGGGAGGCCAAGGCAUGUGGAUCACUUGAGGUCAAAAGUUCUUGACCAGCCUGAUUAACAUGGUGAAACUCCGUCUCUAUUAAAUACAAAAAAAUUAGCCAGGAGUGGUGGUGCAUGACUGUUAUCUGAGCUACUUGGGAGGCUGAGACAGGGGAAUUGCUUGUACCCGGAGGCGGAGGUUGCAGUGAGCUGAGAUCACACCAUUGUACUCCAGCAUGGGCAACAAGAGCAAAACUCUGUCUCAAAAAAAAAAAAAAAAAGGAGAGCUUUGGUCUACAGAAAGUCAGGCACCAUCACAGCAUCAUAGGGACAGGGAUACAGGAUGCAGGUCCCCGUUACAUCCAGGGCUCCAUCCCUCUUCUCUCCAUCCUCCCCAUAGGCUUUUCCUACAGGCCUUUGGUUUUCCCCGGAUGUUGGCUUGCCCCUAUACCAGCACUGCCAUGGAUGUUGGCUUGCCCCUAUACCAGCACUGCCACGGAUGUUGGCUUGCCCCUAUACCAGCACUGCUCUGGAUGUAGGCUUGUCCCUACAAGAUCACUGGCCCGACUUGUCACUCCAGGGACAAUGUGUCCACCCUUGGCCUAGCUAGUCAGAAACUUUUGUCUUCGUGUCAUCGUGUCCAAUCAAGAUGUCCAAGAUCCUUCUCUCUUUAGAGAGCAUGGGGAGGAGGGGCAUUGUGCUGGGUUGAUGACUGUCCCCCAAAUCCACUUCCACUCAGAAGCUCAAAAUAUGACCUUAUUUGGAGACAGGGUCUUUGCAGAUGUAAUUAGUUAAGAUGAAGUCACGCUGCAUUAGGGUGGGCCCUAGACCCAAGGCCUAGACCCAAGGACUGGCGAUCUUAUAAAAAGAGGAGUGGACACAGAGACAGAUGCAGAGGGAGGGCAGCCACGGAAAGACAAAGGCAGAGAGUGGAUGAUGCAGCCGCAAGCCAUCGGAUGUCCAGGGCCACCAGGAGCUGAGGAGGUGAGGAAGGGCACCCCCAGGAACCUUCAGAGGGAGCACGACACUGUCGACACCUUGACUUUAGACUUCUGGGCUCCAGAUCAGCAAGGGAGUAGAUUUCUGCUCCUUUAAGCAUUUUAUGGGUCUCUGCUGCAGGAGCUCAAGGAAACUCAUUCAGGUAUUUAGGACGGUUGUGCUGGGUGGAGACGGACCACACACCGUCUCUGGGCUGAAGGGGCGGGCACCAGGAGCAGGUCCUCAGUCGACCGCAUCUUGGCACUUAGCUUUGGUGACUCCCCCUGGUGCUGCUGAUGUCCUACCGUGGCCUCUAGGGGACUCAGGGUCCUGCACCCCACCCCUGCUCCCUUCCUGCCCUGGCCUCGUCUCACCUCUGCAGUAGCAAGACUUUCUGCAGCCUGAAUCUAGAUUCUCUGCCGCCUCUUGGUUCUUCUCCUUCAAUGUGGGCUCACCAAGGGCCAUGAGGGUCCCCAGGACUGCAAGGGCACACAGAAAACCCACAGAUUCAUACACUGAGAUAUCGCUCUCCUCGUCGACAGGACCUCAAGCCUCCAGGCCCAGCUCAGUCUAAUUCAAUCUCUGUGUCUUUGCUCAAACUCUUGCAAGGAAAUCUGACCACCUUGGCCUGGCUGGGGGCAUCCAGCGCUAUCCCUGGGGUGUGGCCUGAAACCCUUCCUUCCUCGGUAGGACUCAGUCAACCAGGGUUAAGAAAAGGGCACAUUCCUUGGAGAAGCAUGAGGAGAUAAUGCUUCUGAGGACGCUCAUGUAUGUGAACGCUCAAUGCAGACAUAUGGAAAUUAUGUCGUCUACAUUUACCCCCAUCCCUCUAGGGUGGGUGUCAUCAGAUUCCCGUCCCAGUUUGCAGCUGGAGCCUCGGGGCUUGGAUUAAGUGCUUGCCAGUGCUGGUAGAGAAGCCUGUCACCUCCCACCACUCUCAGCACUUGUCCACUUGCCAAGGUCUCAUGGCAAGUAAGUCCUGGCCACCUUGGUCGCCUCUUAGACGAAGUGGCUUGGACUAGAUGCCCUCCUCCGAGGUGAAUCUUGAGCUGAAGCUUCGGUGUGUGCCUGGAGCAUGUGGCUGGGGUGUUCAGCAAACCCUGGGCAGGGAGGACAGGCCAGCCAGACCUCGGGCCCCCAACUGGGCAUCUGCCUCCAUAGGGCAUUCAUCCACUUUGGGGGUCUUUGUGUCCCUAAAAGAGUCUGAAUAUGAAUCCACACUCAAGCAAAACCAUUAAGGAGAUCAAAGCAGCCGCAAUGACACUGGAGGAGGCUCAUGCUCCUGGGAAACCUCAGAGUAAGACGCAUGGGGGAGGUGCUGGCUUAAGGGUCAUGACUGAGGUGAGAGGCUGAGGGCAAUGGACAGAAAGCAGCAUGCAACCAAGUUCAGGUGGCAGGGAAAACAGAGAGCAAGGAGGAAGCAAAACUGUGAGCAAAACAGGCCUUGAGGGGCCAAACAGUCAGCCACAGAUGCCAGGCUCCUGCCCGACCUGCCCCGACCCUGCCUCUCAGAGGGCACCUGCCAUCCUCUGUGCACCCCACCUGUCCUGUCCCAUCUGUGCAGGGCCCCGUCUAUCGCCCCUGAAGGGUCAGGUGCUCCUCACUGGAAGGUAGGAACUGGGCUUCACCAUCUGGACUGUGCAAGGCCUGCCUGGUCAUGAGAGCAAAGAGUUUUCUAGAAGGCUGGCUUGCACACAUAAGUGAAGAACUGCCCCCCAGAAGUAAUGCUUAGGCAAAGAAGGUGGGCAGUGGUGGUGGUCACAGAUGCUGGGGGUGAGCCAUAGGCCUGAGCCAUCCAUUGUGGGGGUCUGAAAGCCCAAGUCUGUGGCUCCCACACACAGAGAUAGACAGUUCCUAGAGAACACCAGAGUCUAGGCCCCAGGGGCUGGGCGUGCCUCAGAGGGCGCCCCAUGCCAGCUUAAAGGCAGCUGGGAAUGCAGCAAUUGAUCAGUGGGUGCUGGGCAGCUCACACCCCCGUGCGGACAGUCUUCUCCAUGGGCCGAGAAGUGUGUCACAUGCAUGCAGGUGCAUAUGCAUGGGGACAUGGGGGCCCAGGAGUCUUCCUACUGCAGAGUUCAAAGAUGCGGGCUGAAGGCAGUUUGGAGAGCGUCCCCUGCCUGUGCUUCUCUUUUAACUCCAGGACCUGAGCCUCUGCUGGGUGGCGGGUGGACGCUGCUCCCAGUCUCCCAUGCAAGGGGCCCCAGAGGGAGGAAAAUGGCAGGAUGGGACAGAGGGACCACGUGAGAGCAGCUUUGGGAUAAAGCUGCCAGAUACACAAAGCAAUAAACAAAAGGGAAAAAGGAAACGGGACUCAACACAAUUCACAAGUCACAAGGUGGUUGGCUCCAAGGAGCAGGUCCCUGGCUCAGCGGGUCCACUGGGGCUCUCUGGGCAGAGGGGCCUGGUGUUUGAGGUCCCCUCCAGAACCUUCACGCUGAGUGGCAAUGACAUUCCAUAGCCUUGAGGGGCAGGGGCGCAAGGCUCAGCACCCUGGGGCUCUGGGGUGGAGGAGGAGGAUGAUCCGGACUGGGGAGGCAGAAAUGGCCCUCCGUUCUUUUCUGUUUCUUCUCACGCCUCCAGCCCCUUGCUGCAGCCACACUGGCCUCAGUUACACUGGCUCCUUCCUGCUCCUCAUCUGUACAGGGCCAGGUCCUGAAUUAGGGGGGCCUUUGUACAUACAGGCACCAGAACAUUCUUCCAGAGCUUCACUGGAGCCUUCCUCUUCAGCAUGACCGUCCCUGGCCACCUGAUCCAGAGCUGGCGGCUCCCAGGCAUAGCCCAUCCCUGCUGCGGCUCUGCACUGCCCCAGUCCUCACCUGCAUGCAGGGGACUAUUCACAUGCUGACCGUCUGUCCAUCUCCCGUAAGAACGUCGGCUCCUUCCACGUCUGCUGGGCGUGGAGGAUCCCUCACAGCCUCCCCGACCUCAGAGCCAUGAGAGACUUGCAAAGCUUGAAACAAACUCUGAAAGGACUCUUCACAGAUAAAUUCCUCCAGGUGCAUGUUUCAAACAAUUUUAUUAUCUAACCCAAGAGUAAGUUAGCAAUCGAUUUCCUAAUCUUUAUUGAUUGGCAGUGGGCAGGCUAGUGUGAUUAAAGAUGUGAGAGAGACUUGCCAAAUAAAAUGCAUGAGCAGCCUUCAUGAGCUUAGCUCCAAUGUGCAGAGUGAUAGGGUCAGGGAAGUGUGUGUAUGUGUGCAUGAUUGUGUGAGAUCAGGGUAGUGUGUGUGUGUGUGUGUGUGUGUGACAUCAGGGCAGUGGGUGUGUGAGAGAGAUCAGGGCAGUGUGUAUGUGUAUGUGUGAGAUCAGGGCAGUGUGCGUGUGUGUGUGUGUGUGACAUCAGGGCAGUGUGUCUGUGUGCAUGAGUGUGUGAGAUCAGGGCAGUGUGUGUGCAUGAGUGUGAUAUCAGGGCAGUAUGUGUGUGUCUGUGUGUGUGUGUAUGAUAUCAGGGCAGUGUGUGUGUGUCUGUGUGUGAGGUUAGGGCAGUGUGUGUUUGUGUGCAUGAGUGUGUGAGAUCAGGACAGUAUGUGAGAGAGAGAGAUCAGGGCAAAGGGCAGUGUUUGUGUGAGAUUAGGGCAGAGUGUGUGUGUGUGUGUAUGAGAUCAGGGCAGUGUGUGUGUGUGUGCAUGAGUGUGUGAGAUCAGGGUAGUGUGUGUGUGUGACAUCAGGGCAGUGUUUGUGUGUUUGUGUGAGAUCAGGGCAGUGUGUGUGUGUGCACGAGUGUGUGAGAUCACGGAAGUGUGUGUGUCAGGUCACCACAGUGUAUGUGCGGGUAUGCGUGUGUGUGUGCACAGGGAACACACGGACAGCCAUUCCAAGUACACACUCUCCUUGGGUAAAUCUGUGAGUAAUCAUUGCUCCAGCAGUGAGAGCCCGUGAGGGUGGUGCAGGAAGACUGUGGCCUGCCUCCUGAGGGAAGCAUUAAAAAAACAGUCAAAGGAAAACGAACUCAGCUCUCCCAGGGUGGAGGACGUGGAGGUGGGCAGCCAGGGAACAAAUCUGGUUGCUGCGAGCCUGUCAGAAAGGGCCCUAGUGCCCUGCCAGGAGGAAGGACUCUGGGCCAUGAGCAUGAUGGUCUUUGAAGGCCAGGAGAGCUAGCCUACCCCAGCUCUGCCACUAACUGUGCGACUCACGGUCACAUGAUGAUACCUCCUGGGCCCCAUAUACUUUAUCUGCAAAUGGGAAGAAGCACAGCCUCUGUGUCCACAGUGCUGUUGAGGUUGGAUCGGGGCUAACUGGCAAUCAGACAUGUGUCUAUAAAUGCCGGCGAGCCAGGCAGAGCCCAGGCCUGAGAGUCCACCAGGGUGGCAGGCCUUAAUCCGCGCUGCACAGAUCUGU
rnacentral:lncRNA from 1 species